AGCAUAUCAAUAAGCGGAGGAAAAGAAACCAACAGGGAUUGCCCUAGUAACGGCGAGUGAAGCGGCAACAGCUCAAAUUUGAAAUCUGGCGUCUUUGGCGUCCGAGUUGUAAUUUGCAGAGGGCGCUUUGGCAUUGGCAGCGGUCCAAGUUCCUUGGAACAGGACGUCACAGAGGGUGAGAAUCCCGUACGUGGUCGCUAGCCUUUACCGUGUAAAGCCCCUUCGACGAGUCGAGUUGUUUGGGAAUGCAGCUCUAAAUGGGAGGUAAAUUUCUUCUAAAGCUAAAUACUGGCCAGAGACCGAUAGCGCACAAGUAGAGUGAUCGAAAGAUGAAAAGCACUUUGGAAAGAGAGUUAAAAAGCACGUGAAAUUGUUGAAAGGGAAGCGCUUGCAGCCAGACUUGCCUGUAGUUGCUCAUCCGGGUUUUUACCCGGUGCACUCUUCUAUAGGCAGGCCAGCAUCAGUUUGGGCGGUUGGAUAAAGGUCUCUGUCAUGUACCUCUCUUCGGGGAGAACUUAUAGGGGAGACGACAUGCAACCAGCCUGGACUGAGGUCCGCGCAUCUGCUAGGAUGCUGGCGUAAUGGCUGUAAGCGGCCCGUCUUGAAACACGGACCAAGGAGUCUAACAUCUAUGCGAGUGUUUGGGUGUCAAGCCCGAGCGCGUAAUGAAAGUGAACGGAGGUGGGAACCUUUCGGGGUGCACCAUCGACCGAUCCUGAUGUCUUCGGAUGGAUUUGAGUAAGAGCAUAGCUGUUGGGACCCGAAAGAUGGUGAACUAUGCUUGAAUAGGGUGAAGCCAGAGGAAACUCUGGUGGAGGCUCGCAGCGGUUCUGACGUGCAAAUCGAUCGUCAAAUUUGGGCAUAGGGGCGAAAGACUAAUCGAA
rnacentral:rRNA from 1 species